UACGUAGGUGACAAGCGUUGUCCGGAUUUACUGGGCGUAAAGAGCGCGCAGGCGGUCGUUCAAGUCGAGUGUGAAAGCCCCCGGCUCAACUGGGGAGGGUCACUCGAUACUGAUCGACUCGAAGGCAGGAGAGGAGACUGGAAUUCACGGUGUAGCAGUGAAAUGCGUAGAUAUCGUGAGGAAGACCAGUGGCGAAGGCGGGUCUCUGGACAGUUCCUGACGCUGAGGCGCGAAGGCCAGGGGAGCAAACGGG
rnacentral:rRNA from 1 species